rnacentral:rRNA from 1 species
GGUAUGGGAUGAGCUUGCGUCCGAUUAGCUAGUUGGCGGGGCAACGGCCCACCAAGGCGACGAUCGGUAGCCGGCCUGAGAGGGUGAUCGGCCACAUUGGGACUGAGAUACGGCCCAGACUCCUACGGGAGGCAGCAGUAGGGAAUAUUGCACAAUGGGGGGAACCCUGAUGCAGCAACGCCACGUGUGGGAAGAAGCAUUUCGGUGUGUAAACCACUGUCAUGAGGGAAUAAGGCCUAUUUUCGGAUAGGAUUGAAUGUACCUUGAGAGGAAGCACCGGCAAACUUCGUGCCAGCAGCCGCGGUAAUACGAGGGGUGCAAGCGUUGUUCGGAAUUACUGGGCGUAAAGGGAGCGUAGGCGGAGAUUCAAGCGGAUUGUAUAAUCCCGGGGCCCAACCCCGGCUCUGCAGUCCGAACUGGAUCUCUUGGAUAGUUCAGGGGCAGGC